GGGGUAGUGUAGGUAACGGGAACCCACUCGGUCUGCACCCGAUGUGAUGAGAGUUCGAAUCUCUCCUAUUCCA
rnacentral:tRNA from 1 species